rnacentral:rRNA from 1 species
UACGUAGGGUGCGAGCGUUAAUCGGAAUUACUGGGCGGAAAGCGUGCGCAGGCGGCGCGUUAAGUCAGGUGUGAAAGCCCGAGCUUAACUUGGGAAUUGCGCUUGUGACUGGCGUGCUGGAGUGUGGCAGAGGGAGGUGGAAUUCCACGUGUAGCAGUGAAAUGCGUAGAGAUGUGGAGGAACACCGAUGGCGAAGGCAGCCUCCUGGGCCAGCACUGACGCUCAUGCACGAAAGCGUGGGGAGCAAACAGG